GAUGAACGCUAGCGAUAGGCUUAACACAUGCAAGUCGAGGGGCAGCAUUGUCUUAGCUUGCUAAGGCUGAUGGCGACCGGCGCACGGGUGCGUAACGCGUAUGCAACUUGCCUCACAGAGGGGGAUAACCCGUCGAAAGACGGACUAAUACCGCGUACACUCUAUGUUGGGCAUCCAAUGUAGAGGAAAUGAAAUUCGCUGUGAGAUAGGCAUGCGUCCCAUUAGCUAGUUGGUGAGGUAACGGCUCACCAAGGCGACGAUGGGUAGGGGAACUGAGAGGUUGAACCCCCACACUGGUACUGAGACACGGACCAGACUCCUACGGGAGGCAGCAGUGAGGAAUAUUGGUCAAUGGGCGAGAGCCUGAACCAGCCAAGUCGCGUGAAGGAUGACUGUCUUAUGGAUUGUAAACUUCUUUUAUACGGGAAUAACAAGAGUCACGUGUGGCUCCCUGCAUGUACCGUAUGAAUAAGCAUCGGCUAACUCCGUG
rnacentral:rRNA from 1 species